AUUGAACGCUGGCGGCAUGCCUUACACAUGCAAGUCGAACGGCAGCACGGGAGCAAUCCUGGUGGCGAGUGGCGAACGGGUGAGUAAAGUAUCGGAACGUGCCCAGUCGUGGGGGAUAACGUAGCGAAAGUUACGCUAAUACCGCAUACGAUCUAUGGAUGAAAGCGGGGGAUCGCAAGACCUCGCGCGAUUGGAGCGGCCGAUAUCAGAUUAGGUAGUUGGUAGGGUAAAGGCUCACCAAGCCGACGAUCUGUAUCUGGUCUGAGAGGACGACCAGCCACCCUGGGACUGAGACACGGACCAGACUCCUACGGGAGGCAGCAGUGGGGAAUUUUGGACAAUGGGCGCAAGCCUGAUCCAGCCAUGCCGCGUGCAGGAUGAAGGCCUUCGGGUUGUAAACUGCCUUUGUACGGAACGAAAAGGUUUGACUUAAUACGUUGGACUCAUGACGGUACCGUAAGAAUAAGCACCGGCUAACUACGUGCCAGCCGCCGCGGUAA
rnacentral:rRNA from 1 species